AACAACCCAAUCAAAAGCAGACACAGACCCAACUAUAUCAAUCGUUAUGAAUGGAGUGAACAACCCAAUCAAAAGCAGACACAGACCCAACUAUAUCAAUUGUAACAUUAGAUGUGAAAGGAGUGAACAACCCAAUCAAAAGCAGACACAGACCCAACUAUAUCAAUCAAAACAUUAGAUGUGAAUGGAGUGAACAACCCAAUCAAAAGCAGACACAGACCCAACUAUAUCAAUCGUUAUGAAUGGAGUGAACAAUGCAAUCAAAAGAAGACACAGACCCAACUAUAUCAAUCAUUAUGAAUGGAGUGAACAAUCCAAUCAAAAGCAGACACAGACACAACCAUAUGAAUUGUAACAUUAGAUGUGAAUGGAGUGAACAACCCAAUCAAAAGCAGAAACAGAAUCAACUAUAUC
rnacentral:lncRNA from 1 species